UUGUGUUGAAUCUCAAUCAGGGUGACUCAACCUUGGCAACACCAAGUGAGUAAAUGCGCCCCAGUGCUUUUCAAAGCCAAGUGCUUCACACAUAUAAGAAAUUCGAUGUGAUGUUUAUUAAGCUGGUACUUAUCCAAAUCUUCUGUGUUCAUACUACUGACUAGAGAAACAGAUGAGAUGGAUGCAGGAGAUGAGGCCCUGGUUGGAAAGAUCCUGGCUCCCUAAUUCACUGUGUUAGCUGUGUGGAGCUGAGACCACCCAUCUGCGUGUUGACCUAAAUUAGACUGUGAUGGAAGAGACGGUCAAUAAACAAACUGAUAAAUGAGAACAAUGUCCGACGCUGAUCAAUGCUCUGCUGAAAAAUAAAAUGUGAUGUGAU